UACGAAGGGGGCUAGCGUUGCUCGGAAUUACUGGGCGUAAAGGGAGCGUAGGCGAGUUAUCAAGUUGGAGGUGAAAGCCCGGGAGCUCAACCUUGGAAUUGCCUUCAAAACUGAUAGCCUAGAGUAUGAUAGAGGUAAGUGGAACUCCGAGUGUAGAGGUGAAAUUCGUAGAUAUUCGGAAGAACACCAGUGGCGAAGGCGACUUACUGGAUCGAUGACUGACGCUGAGGCUCGAAAGCGUGGGGAGCAAACAGG
rnacentral:rRNA from 1 species